rnacentral:rRNA from 1 species
UACGUAGGGGGCAAGCGUUGUCCGGAUUUAUUGGGCGUAAAGAGCGUGUAGGCGGUUUUACAGGUCCGCUGUGAAAACUCGAGGCUCAACCUCGAGCUGUCGGUGGAAACCGUAAGGCUAGAGUCCGGAAGAGGAGAGUGGAAUUCCUGGUGUAGCGGUGAAAUGCGCAGAUAUCGAAGGAAGAACCAGCCCGUAGGCGGC